CGUUACACUAGUGUUUAAAAGUUAUGAAAACUGGAGUAGUAAAAAUUAAUAGUUUUAAAAUUCAAAGAAUUUGGCGGUGCCUUAGCCUAGUUAGAGGAACCUGUUUUAUAAACGAUAAUCCACGUAAAAUCUUUCUUGUUUUUAUAAAGUUAGUAUACCUUCAUUAUUAGAUAAUUUAUAGAUAGAAAUUAUUGUAAUAGGGCUGACGCUCCUAAUAUAUUAGAUCACGGUGCUGCUAAUAAACAAGUAAAAAUGGGUUACAAUAAAAUUAAUUUAUCGCGGAGUUAGCUAUGAAUAUUGUUAAUAAAGAUGGAUUUAAUUGUAAUGGAAUAUUUAAUAAGGUUUUAUGAGAUAAGCACUAAGGUGUGUACAUAU
rnacentral:rRNA from 1 species